rnacentral:rRNA from 1 species
AUACGUAGGGAGCGAGCGUUGUCCGGAAUUACUGGGUGUAAAGAGCUCGUAGGUGGUUUGUCGCGUCGUCUGUGAAAUUCCGGGGCUUAACUCCGGGCGUGCAGGCGAUACGGGCAUAACUUGAGUACUGUAGGGGAGACUGGAAUUCCUGGUGUAGCGGUGAAAUGCGCAGAUAUCAGGAGGAACACCGGUGGCGAAGGCGGGUCUCUGGGCAGUAACUGACGCUGAGGAGCGAAAGCAUGGGUAGCGAACAGGAUUAGAUACCCUGGUAGUCCAUGCCGUAAACGGUGGGCGCUAGGUGUAGGGGUCUUCCACGACUUCUGUGCCGUAGCUAACGCAUUAAGCGCCCCGCCUGGGGAGUACGGCCGCAAGGCUAAAACUCAAAGGAAUUGACGGGG